rnacentral:rRNA from 1 species
CACGUAGGGGGCAAGCGUUGUCCGGAUUUAUUGGGCGUAAAGAGCUCGUAGGUGGUUCGGUAAGUCGGGUGUUAAACCCCCAGGCUCAACCUGGGGACGCCACUCGAUACUGCUGUGACUAGAGUCCGGUAGGGGAGCGUGGAAUUCCUGGUGUAGCGGUGAAAUGCGCAGAUAUCAGGAGGAACACCAGCGGCGAAGGCGGCGCUCUGGGCCGGAUACUGACACUGAGGAGCGAAAGCGUGGGUAGCAAACAGGAUUAGAAACCC